ensembl:lncRNA
UUAAUAUUCUGACUUUUUUAGUCUCAUAAUCAUGUCCAUGUUCAAAAUUGUUCCCUUAGCUUCAUUUCAUAACAAAGAUUCAAGGUAAAAAGCUCUUUAAGCAGAAAUUCAAGGUUAAUGUCUUAUGUGGAAAUCUUUCUACUAGAUCUGUUUAUUCUUUUCUUCUAAAAAAAAUUAUAGACUGAUUUUCCAGAUGCUUUAUAAGGAUGCAGUGAGUUAUCUAUUUUGGUAGAAAUUGGAUUAACAUGGAAUUUGGUUCAGCCAAAAUUACAAAUUAUUGUCUACUUGAAUCCAACUUUCUCAUCUCUUAUUUGGACCUGUUUAUUCUCCAUCAGGGACCAGGGUUAGCCUUGCUGAACAUUGAUUGUAAAGAUAAAUUUAGUCCCUGGCUAAUUUCCCCAAAGGUUGUUCUUUGGUCCUUGUUAAGUAAAAAACUUUUUGAUUUAUUAAGGAUUAAGGAAUAAGGCAUUUUUAAAUUGAACAAGCUCUACAUUAAGUCCAGUGUAUUAUAAGUACAUCUUUGUAGUUCUUUGAUACCUUUUUAAAAAUUAGAAAUAAUGAUUUUUACAUGAUUUUUGAAAAUUGAUUUUGGAGAUUUGUAUUCAUUUUAGGCACAUAUUAUCAAUCUUUUUUUCUCCCCAUGUAAAAGUUAUGUUUGUGUGUCUGAAAUGUAUUACCUAUUUGAUUUAUGUGAUGGCACAUGCAUGAAUUUAACCAAGGUUAUAGUUCUGUUUAUAGGGCCAUCCUAAGAUUAUCACGCACAGAUAUUUUUCCAUAGGAAAAAUGAAAUAUUUAAAGAAUAUAUUUUAGUUAGUUAUCCUUACUGUAAAAUAACAUCUUUAAACAUUUGUAUUUUUUAAGCAAAAAUAUUUGUGUAUGCAGAAUAUUUUCCUUCAACGUAGUCGCUUGUGGUACCUUCACAUUCUGCCAUGUUCCUUUUAAUACAGGACAGGGCAUUUAUUGACCUGUGAGGUUGCAUUUUUCUGUUAGAAAUAAUCAAAGGUCAGUUGGGUGAUUAAAUUGGGUAGUAUGGUUUAGGGGAAAAAUGUGUUCAAGGGAAAAUAAGUCUGACUUUCUCCUGGGAUACAUCAAACUGGUCUAAAGUGGAAAUUCCUCAAAACCCCUGCAGCGGCAUACUAGAAUAGCUUGUGCAUGUGUGCUAAGUUGCUAAGUGUCUGACUCUGCAAUCCUGUGGACCAUAGCCUGCUAGGCUCCUCUGUCCAUGGUAUUCUCCAGGCAAGAAUACAAGUAACUAUUCAUUUAUAAGUUCAAUUGUUUUUAAAAAAAAAAUCAGUCUUACUCAUUUUAUAAGUAUAAGCUCAAUUGUGUAAAAAAAAAUCAAUCUUGUUACUUUUUAGUGAUGUUAUAUCCCAACAACUACCUAGUUUAUCAAAUCCAGUCAAGGCUUUUGACAUUUGAAAUAUCUCAGUAUGAUAGGUUCAAAAUCUGGAAUAAGAACCAGAGAUGGUUUUAAAAUGUAUCAAGAAGGCAUUCUCAUUUCCUAAAGACCAAAUAUUUUCUAUAAGGAAUGUUAGAUAAAAAAUGUCGAGUAUCAUUUUACUGUCUUUACUGGAAGCUGAUUCCUUGUGCUAAAUGUGAACAGUCUUAAUAUAACUUGAUGUAAAACAAGCUUGAAAAAUUUCUCUCUUCAGAGUUUACAUAUUUUCCAUCACCAGUAGGCCACUUAUACAAUACCUCUGUACUGAGUAUUUAAGUUCAACCUGACUUUGUUAAGGUUUAAAAAUUGCUCCUUGCCUACAUUAAUAUUCAGUUCAGUCGCGUCCGACUCUUUUCGACCCCAUGAAUCGCAGCGCGCCAGGCCUCCCUGUCCAUCACCAGAUCCCGGAGUUUACCCAAACUCAUGUCCAUUAAGUCGGUGAUACCAUCCAGCCAUCGCAUCCUCUGUCGUCCCCUUCUCCUGCCCCCAAUCUCUUCCAGCAUCAGGGUCUUUUCCAGUGAGUCAACUCUUCGCAUGAAGUGGCCAAAGCAUUAAUGUUAAGUACUUGUAUUUAGCAGUGUUAUAUUUUUGGAUGUUAGUUAAUUUGAUGAACCGUUCAGCGUUAGUCUGUUCUUCAGAGUUCUACUUGGUACAGUGUCCAGGAAAAUUAACUUGGAUAAAACGAUGAUGCAUAUUUUACAGUUAAAAUAUUUUAAAAUUUCUGUUUAAGAAGUAGAUCUCCAAAAAAAAAAAAAAAAGAAGUAGAUCUCUGUAAUUGCCACAGAUAAUUUUGUGAUUCUGGUUCUGGUAGUUGUUUUUGUGUUAGGAAAAUAUUGUACCUCGCAGUGCUUGAUUUGUAGUUUUUUUUACUGUUUUAGAAAUCUUCACAUUUAUUAUCUCUUAACAGAAAUGAUUUUUAGCUAAAUGUUUACAUUAUUGAAUGAGGAAAGUUGAACCAAUGGUUAGGACUAAAACAGGCUGAAAUUUAGAUUUGGUGUUCUGCAUGGAGUUUUGUUAUUGACCAUCUCCACUCAGGUAUUUAUGCAUUAGAAUUAAUAUUGGAUUCCAAAUCACUUGAUUGUAAUUUGCAUUUUAAGUGUAAUAUACAGAUUCUACUUUAUUAGUAAGUGUUGUUUUAAAUUUAUACCUUCAUUUAAGCUUGUUUUUAAAAUGAAGAUUAAAAAUUUUUAGCUAAUAGAAAUUUAGGUAAAUAUGUAGUAUUUAAGUUAUUGCUAGUUUAUUACUUGAACUUUGAUUCAGUGUGCAAUAAUAGCUUUUAUGUGGUAAAACUACAUGUUCCUUUUUUUUUUUUCCCACUUGAAAUACCUCUUUAACUGAAGUGAGGUUUGUCCAUAACAGCUUCAGGUUUCUGUGACCAAUUCAUAUAUGACUGAAGUGACUCUUGAUAUAAAAUGAGUUAGAAAAAUUAUUUUUUAGCAAACUGAAUAUUAACUUUAAUACUGUAUGAUAACAAAAGCUAUCUGGCUUGAAUUUUUAGCCUUUCUUGUUAGUUUCUAUCCUAUUAUUUCCCCUCCUUAAAAGAAAAAGUCUACAUUCCCAGUACCUUUUCUACAACUUAAGGAAAACUGGAUAUUUGACAGUAGAGUUAUUUUCACUGAAUUUUAGUCUUUGUGCCUGAAAUAAGCAGUACUGACAGGAAGAUAUAAUUAACUUCCCUCUCUUGUAACAGAGUUUAUAGCACCUAAUAUUCUUAAAGAAUAAACCUUUACCAAGUUAUGUACUUAUUUGCAGAUCAGCCUAGGAACACCCUCAAGAAAGCAGUAGGUGGAUUGUGUAGAAAAUAGAGAGACAGAGAUUAUUGAUCAUGGGGAUUUUAUCAUGUUCACUGAAAAAAAAAAAUCUUUCAAAUAAAGAUAAUGAAGUUUAUAAGUGGAAAAUAAUAUGAUUAGUCAAAGUAUUUUUUAAAAAACUAAACUCUUGAAAACAAAAUAAAUUGGUUAUUUCUAGGAAAAGGGUAUCUUUCAUGUAUUUGGAAACAAAGCAAUUAAUGCCAAGAUUUAUCUGUUUCUUUUCCCCUUUUAGUUGGUUGACACAACCAAGUAAUUCAAUAGUAGUAUUACUGGUUUAAUUCUAUAAUGCUUAUUAUCUCCUAAUAUUUAAAAAGACAUUGCCUCCAAGAUAAAAGAUGCUGGUAGAAAGAGAAAAGAUACUGAUCUGUAUCCAUCCUUUUUUUCUCUCUGUUGUAUCCCCCCACCCCUGCCAAUAUUAAAAACAACAACAACAGUCUACUUCUGUAGGCCUGAAGAGGCUGCUUUUACCCAGGAGAAGCUUUUUCAAGAUAGCUCAAAACCUGUGACUUCUGGUCAUAGGUAAUGUAUUCAUCCUCUUGUAUCCUUAGUCAUGACUUUUUAAUGAAGACUGGAACUCUGGAGAUAAUAUCCAGCAGCCCAAGUUUGUGUGCAAGAAUGGUGUUAGGCAUUUUCUUCCAUUGUAGGGGAUGUCUCAGAUGCUUUUUUAUGGUUCCCUCCAAGGAGCUUUCCAGACCCCCAAAAUAACGGCCCACCAGCAUGACCCUCUUCUUCCCCCUUUUCCCUCUCCUUUUCUGUUUCUCCUCCUCCUUUCAAUGAACACAUCAAGGAAAACAGGACCCUGUAAGUAUGCAAUUACUGUGUUUCAUGUUCUUAAUUAGCAGUCAUAACUUCAGCAUUGUCUCCUAACAAGGCAGUUUCACCAUUAGUCAUGCUCCUGUAGUUCAUUGUCCUUCUAAAUAUCAGUGUCACUGUGGAUCACCUUUAAGUGUAUUGAACAUAGGGAAAAGGAUAAAGGGAAGAAAUAAUAAUUUAUAACGUUACUGAGUUUCAUUGCUUAUGGUAUUUAAUGUUUUAAUCUUUUGCCAAAUGAAAAACAAUCUUUUAAACAAAAAGGGAAAAAAUCAUUUUAUGCAAAUGUUUGUAAACAUGUAUGUAAAUAUGUUGUUUUCUUUACCUCCAAAAAUCAUUAAUAAAAAUGGAUUUUUAGUUUCUUCUUGAAUGGGGUUCCUUUGUGUAUAGUAGGGCAAAUUUUGCAAGCCCAGAACAACACUUAAAUCUGAGUUUCUUUUAUCACAUGAUAUCAGAAGGGAUACAGCUUUUUCUGUCUUGUCA